rnacentral:rRNA from 1 species
AGCGAACGCUGGCGGCAGGCCUAACACAUGCAAGUCGAACGAACCUUUCGGGGUUAGUGGCGGACGGGUGAGUAACACGUGGGAACGUGCCUUUAGGCUCGGAAUAACUCAGGGAAACUUGUGCUAAUACCGAAUGUGCCCUUCGGGGGAAAGAUUUAUCGCCUUUAGAGCGGCCCGCGUCUGUUUAGCCAGUUGGUUGAGGUAAUGGCGCACCAAGGCGACGUUCAGUACCUGGUCUGAGAGGAUGAUCAGCCACAUUGGGACUGAGACACGGCCCAAACUCCUACGGGAGGCAGCAGUGGGUGAUCUUGCGCAAUGGGCGAGAGCCUGACGCAGCCAUGCCGGGUGAAUGAUGAAGGUCUUAGGAUUGUAAAAUUCUUUCACCGGGGACGAUAAUGACGGUACCCAGAGAAGAAGCCCCGGCUAACUUCGUG